GUCGAGAAUCUUUCACAAUGGGGGCAACCCUGAUGGAGCGACGCCGCGUGGAGGAUAAGGUCUUCGGAUUGUAAACUCCUGUCAUGCGUGAACAAGGUUGCUUGGUUAAUACCUGGGCAAAUUGAUGGUAACGCAAGAGGGAGAGACGGCUAACUCUGUGCCAGCAGCCGCGGUAAUACAGAGGUCUCAAGCGUUGUUCGGAAUCACUGGGCGUAAAGGGUGCGUAGGUGGCGUGGUAAGUCAGAUGUGAAAGCCCGGGGCUCAACCUCGGAACUGCAUCCGAUACUGCCAUGCUAGAGUACUGGAGAGGUGACUAGAAUUCUCGGUGUAGCAGUGAAAUGCGUAGAUAUCGAGAGGAAUACCAAAGGCGUAGGCAGGUCACUGGACAGUUACUGACACUGAGGCACGAAGGCCAGGGGAGCGAACGGGAUUAGAUACCCGUGUAGUCC
rnacentral:rRNA from 1 species